rnacentral:tRNA from 1 species
UGGCUCAGUUGGUAGAGCAUGGUGUUUGCAAUGCCCAGCAUAGUGUGUGCAACACCAAGGUUGUGGGUUCUAUUCCCAU